UCAAAUAAUUGUAAUUUAAUUCAAAUGCAAAUUUCAAAUCCAAACACGUUGACACCAUACCAUCAACAAUAAUUUAGUGCAUUCAAACUGAAAACGGUGCAUCAUCACAUUACAAUUAGGGUGUUCACUAAUAAUAACUGCAAAGUCUAGCUAACAGUUAAACACUAACAUAAAAGUAGUUGUCCAAUCCACAUGUUUGUUUUGGCAACACAACAUAGGUACCAUGAUUUUGCGACAGACCAUAAGUGCCAUGUUUUGGCAACAAAAGAUGUUAGAAAAAUAGAAAGUCAUCCAUAGGAGAGUAGUUGCCGCCACCACUUGUAGUUGCUGUAUUUUCAUGGCCACGGAAUCUUCCUUAAACAGUCCUACUCAAUGUUUCAUCAGGAGUUUAUAUUCCAACAGAAGAGCCAUCAGUACAAGCCUAUUCAAUUGAAUAAAUAAAAUUUCAAUUAAAUAAGUCGAAAUUUCACCAAAAAUGCUAUGCCAAAAAUAGGUUCAUGGACAUAGCAUUUAAAAAUAGAUUUCACUAGACUAGCUGAUAUGUGUACAAUAAUUAACAUUAACAAAAGACCAAAAUUAUCAUAGUGCUAAGCUUCUUAAUUUCUAAUUUUCAAAAAUAAACAAAGCGUAUAAAUUAUUUAUACAUGCCAAUUCUGUUUUGACUUAAUUAACAAUAUAAAAAGCACCGAGAAAAGGGAAAUUUCCUUCUCACCUGAAAUCCUUUGUUCAGAAGUGGCAAGUAGACCGUGAAGCCUUCUUUCUAAAGAUGUGGCGCUCCCUUGUC
rnacentral:lncRNA from 1 species